rnacentral:rRNA from 1 species
UAAUACGAAGGGACCUAGCGUAGUUCGGAAUUACUGGGCUUAAAGAGUUCGUAGGUGGUUAAAAAAGUUGGUUGUGAAAUCCCGAAGCUUAACUUCGGAACUGCAAUCAAAACUUUUUAGCUAGAGUAUGAUAGAGGAAAGCAGAAUUUCUAGUGUAGAGGUGAAAUUCGUAGAUAUUAGAAAGAAUACCAAUUGCGAAGGCAGCUUUCUGGAUCAUUACUGACGCUGAGGAACGAAAGCAUGGGUAGCGAAGAGGAUUAGAUACCCUCGUAGUCCAUGCCGUAAACGAUGUGUGUUAGACGUUGGAAAUUUAUUUUCAGUGUCGCAGCGAAAGCAAUAAACACACCGCCUGGGGAGUACGACCGCAAGGUUAAAACUCAAAUGAAUUGACGGGGACCCGCACAAGUAGUGGAGCAUGUGGUUUAAUUCGAAGAUACGCGCAGAACCUUACCAACACUUGACAUGUUCGUCGCGGCUCUAAGAGAUUAGAGCUUUCGGUUCGGCCGGACGAAACACAGGUGCUGCAUGGCUGUCGUCAGCUCGUGUCGUGAGAUGUUGGGUUAAGUCCCGCAACGAGCGCAACCCUCACUUUUAGUUGCCAUCAUUUAGUUGGGCACUCUGAAAGAACUGCCAGUGAUAAGCUGGAGGAAGGUGGGGAUGACGUCAAGUCCUCAUGGCCCUUACGUGUUGGGCUACACACGUGCUACAAUGGCAUUUACAAUAGGAAGCAAGAUGGCGACGUCAAGCAAAUCCUGAAAAGAUGCCUCAGUUCGGAUUGUACUCUGCAACUCGAGUACAUGAAGCUGGAAUUACUAGUAAUCGCGGAUCAGCGCGCCGCGGUGAAUACGUUCCCGGGUCUUGUACACACCGCCCGUCACACCAUGGGAGUUGGUUCUACCUUAAGGCAAGGUUUAAAAUCCUUGACCACGGUAUAGUCAGCGACUGGGGUGAAGUCAUA